rnacentral:lncRNA from 1 species
AUAUAUGUCCGAACAUGAACCCCCCACCCCAUUUUCAGUCAUCUUCCUCAUUUCACCAUUCCUCUCACAAACCCUAGUUGUGCCGCUCCAAAACCUCUAAGCCGCCGGUGACGCUGCCGCCUCCAAACAUCCCCGAAAUAACACCAUAGGCUCUCCCUCAUCUCCCCGUUUCAAAUAUACCAUUAGUUUCCUUCGAAUCAAUGCAUAUCCCCUCGAAUCUUGAUUUUAAAAUCAGGCUCAAAACCCUACUUUGUCUAAAUGGUCCCAAAUUGGUACCCGAUAAUCCCCUGACCUUCCUAAUCUUGAAUCUCUAGUCGAAAUCCCUCAAAUCUCACCGAAGCUCAGCAAAUUUUGGAUCUAGGGUUGUCAUUUCGGGCCUGUUUUAAGGAGUUUCAGAGUCAAAUUGAUUCCUAUUAAUGUAACUUGCUUAUUUUUGCUAAAUAUACAAGUAACAUUAACCGAAAUUCAAUUUCGAUGGUUUAAUUCAUGCUAAAUCUAAGUGAGUUUCUUUUUUAGUUUUUUAUCAGUUUCUUUUAUUCGUCCUCUUUGGUUUUGAUCUUUGUUAGUGUAAUCCAUGUUUUCUUUGUUAGUUAAUAGUAUGUUAAUUUUCAUGCUAUGUUUCUUUUGGGUCGAUUCUGGGUUUCUUUUCUCUUGUGUUACUUCUGUUAAUCACUUUAAACAAGUAAUCAUUAUUUUAGCUAUAUGUUUAUUUGUUUUGUUCAUGUGAACUUUCAUUUGGAAUUUUCCCCUGUUCGAAUAAUUAGUUCUAAUACGUUAAUAGAAGUUAUUAGUCCAGUAGUAUAAAGUUUAGAUUUUUUUUAAAAUUUUUUUAAAGAAGAUCUUAGUUUGUUCAUAUCUAUUUUGAUCUGUUUUAUUCCUCUGGAUUUGACCUGGAUUGAUUUUAGCUUAUGCUUUUGUCUUAGUAUUAGCAGUUUGUUAAUUGUUAAUUCAAUAUUAGUGUUAACUAGUAAUGAUUAGUGCAAUGUUUAAAGUUUAUUUAACAAUAGUCAAGUUUUAACUAAGGUAAGGGAUUUGUUUGGGUCAGUAGUUUCAGGAAGUUUUCAGGGGUAGUCUGGGCAUAGAAAAUGAUUGUUUUAUGAAGAAUAAUAAAUUCAAAACCAAGACAAGGGUAGUAUAGGUAUUGUAUAGGUAAAGUAACACCCUAACGCCUUCAAGAAUAGGACUUUAGUGUAGAUUUAGGUAAAUCUACGGCAGUAACUUGAGAAACAAGUCAGAAAUUGAAGGACUAAUAAGUGAAAUUUGAAAUUAAAAGAAGAAAAGAAUUUGUGAAAGCUUCCAGAACUUUCUGCUCUGUUAUGGAAUAUAAAAGGCAACCCUAGUACCUUCAUUUACAGGUGGACACACCCAUGAAAAAAUUCUAGAAGUUUGAGCCAUCAAAACUCCCUUUAAAUAGCUCUUUCUUUUCUAAUUUUCAGAUCUAAGUUUUAAAAUUUAAAUAUUCAAAAUCCAAAAACAUCAAAAACAGAAAAUCAAAAAUAAAAGUUACUGUUUCAUUGUUUAUUUAGAUUAUUUUCCAGUUUUCUCUUUGCAUUUCUCUAAAAUUUGUUUUAAGCUCGAGUUCAGCAACAUUCUGGAGUAUCUAACAAUUUGGUCGAAUAUAUUUGGAUCUGUUUGGCUUGGUUUUUAUGUUAAGUAACAGCCUGAAGAAGUCUCAUAAGCAAUUUAAGUUCACUAUUGAAUUCGGUUGGGGGUAUUUCAAGUGGUUGUUGGUUUGAUUUGUUAGUUUCUGUUUGACUGUCAAACAUUUCUUGGUGCUAAAUUACUUCUCGAGCUGUUGUUGUUGUGUUGUUCCUGUGAAAUUGAUCUUUUACUUCUCCCCUGUUUCGAUUCCAGGUACACCUUCAUUACCUCUACUGAUAUGGAGGCUUGAUUCUCAUGUAUAGACUGUUUGGGGAAAUCAAUGAAGAAGAACAUUACUUGUUAUCUGAGUUUUAUUGAAUAUUUGACUAGCCUUUCAUAUUUAGCUUAGCUAGUCAUGCUUAGUUGCAAUUAUAGCAAUUGUUUGGACUGUUUAACUUGUACUGAUUAGACUGUAUUGAACUAAUACUUUUCUGAAUUCGUGUGAGCAUUGUUAGUAUUAGUGUAGUCUAAUUGCAUUACAUAACGUCAGUGUAUUUUUUAAGGAUUUAGCAUCUAAAUCAGUAAGAUUGGACUGGAAAGUGUAAUCCCUUGUUUCAUAUGAAAAUCAGAACCCACACUACAUGAUUUAAUUUGUUUUGAAUAUCAAAGGCUCCUAGAAUUCAAACGGUAACAAGUUAAUGAUUCAAUAUACAAAUCAUGUUGGUUAUUUGAGGUUACU